rnacentral:lncRNA from 1 species
AAAAUUUCAAGUCCAUCCAAUACAUAUCAAGAAUUUCACAAAUCAUUUAAGAUCAUGACUCACAAAAGGUCCACAAUUGGUCAAACAGAAAGGAAAUCCUCAAACAAAUUGAAAAUGCAUCCAAAAAAUCCACAAAACUUCAUGAAUGAUCCUAAUAUCCAGAAGAUUCAGCAUGCAAAAAUUCAAAUCAUUUCAAGUUCAUAUGGCAUGGAAAAUAAAAUCAUGAAGUUAGACAAGAAAUGGUGUGACACACAUUGUCACACCUAGAUUCAAC